ACAGCCAUACCACAUUGAAAACACAGGUUCUUGUUCGAUCACCGAAGUUAAGCAAUGUCGGGCCCGGUCAGUACUUGGGGGGGUGACUACCUGGGAACACCGGGUGCUGUAGGCU
rnacentral:rRNA from 1 species